AAGUUCCUUUUUUUGUAGAUCUUGACCCGAACCAAUCAGCAAACCCUAUUUUUGCUUUCUUCUUCAUUCAUACACUCCAAAGAUAAUCUUGGUCGUCUCUUACUUUGCAUCCUUUCAGAUUCAACGUCUAUCUGUCAUGAAACCGUUAUCUCUAGCAAUAUCAGUUCUUGCCUGCGUAACCCUCAGUCUGAGAAACAACAGUUGGAUAUUUUAUCUACAUUGGCGGAUGGAAACUUUGUCUCGACUUUGCUAGCGCUCCAUAUGUGAGUCCCUUAAACUACAUAAUUUUAUAUUACUUGAAUCACAUUUUUGUUAUCUACACAUUUAGGUGUUUCUAGAUGGUGGUUUGAAACAACAGGGAACGGGUAGAUGCUCUUUUAUCUCUUGAACAUACCUUUUUUUGAUGGCAAGUUUUCUAUAUAUCGGACAAGAAAGUUUUACGUCAAUCUGACCUAUACCAAAGGUAACCCGCUUUGACCCAUUACUUAACUCACCUAUUUUCAGCCUGUUUUGUUUUUCCAUUUGAUUCUCAAUAUGAGUAAACAAAUGACAGUUUUAACAUAUAAUCUGUUGAGAUUUGAAAGGUAGUUCUCUUUGCAUGAUUUUACCAUAAUUCGUUCAUUUUUUUGUGUAUACAAGCUGCAGAAUUUCUAUAAUUGUUUGCAUCAUUGUUGAUCCGGGAUGGCCUAAAUGGUCAUGCCAUAUGAUAAAAUUUUCUUGGUCUAUUAACUUCUUGUUUAUGACUGCAUUUGAUUCGAUUGCAUCAAUUUUAGUAUAAUACAAACCAGAGGCAAGUGCUCGCAACUUUUCUAACACAUGCUUUUUACCCGAACUGAUAUUUGUGAUAUGAAGGUACUCAUCAUGUCCCUCGGAUGUAGUCUCAAGAUGAUAUCCGUUUAAACGAACAUCUUUAAAACUUAUUAGAUUCCUUUGAGACAAUGGGGAAAAUAAUGCAUUGAUUAUUUUAAAUGGUGUUCCACCUAGCAACACUACAUAAGCUUCUCCAAAGCCUUCAAUUAAUUUUGAUUGCUAGAUAUAGUACCAACAUUUGCCUUUAGCAUAGUUAAAUUAGAGAAAUAAUUCUUUUUCUUAAGAAUUGUAUACGUAGAUGCGCUGUCUAUUAGACAUAUAUCUUCUCUAUUAAUAGGGAUCUUAGUUAAACACUCCAUAUGCUACAAAAACAAAACAAAAUCAUAUAAAUAAAAUGUCUAACAUGCUUCAAACAUAAAAAAAAAUCCCAAGAUGUUUCAUACGCAUCAAAACAAAACAAAAUAGAAUCUCAAAAUGUCUUAAAGAAAUGAAGGAAAUAACAUCACUUAAAAGCUAAUAAUUCAUAUGUAAGGAAAAUUGCAAGCAUCCAACUGGGUUGUAUUGCCACGAUAUCACCAGAAUCCAAGUUAGUUAACUCAAUAAGGAAAUCAUCAUAAUCCAGAUUAGUUGUAUCAUUAUGGUGUUUAUGACCAUCAGUGACAUCAACAUUUGCAACCUCAUAUGUAAAAUUUGUCUCUAUUCCUUUUGCUUUUUCUUUGAUGGAUUGUUGAUAAAGUUCCACCAAGUGUUUAGACGUACGGCAAGUCUUCGACCAAUGAUUGUUACUUCCACAUCGGUAACAUGCAUUCAAUGAAGAUCCGAUCUUCUUUUUAUUUUUUUCAUCACUAGAUUUAUUUUCAUUAUUAUGCCACUUUUGGUGGGUCCCUUUGUUUUUAAACCGAGCACUAUGAUAAUUUCAUGAUAUUGUUGUUGUAGUAUCACAUUCGAGGGGUGAAAGGUUAACAUUGUUUUCUCCAACAUUUCCUUAUCAGUAAUAUUUUCAGCACAUAGAAUCAGUUGUGAUAUGAUUCUAAACGUUUUCGAGUGGUACUCGCUAAUCGACUUAAAGUCUUGAAACCUUAAAUUGAUCCACUCGUAACGAGCACUCGGUAAUAUUACCAUUUUCUGGUGGUCAUACCUUUCUUUCAGGUUGGUAUAAAGGACAAGGGAUCCUUGAUAGUGAGGUACUCACUUUUCAAAGCCUCAUGAAUAUGAUGAAUAUAAUGGCAUAAAAGAUCAUGGCUUUUGCCUAAUCUUGGGUAUUUGCUUUAUUUCCUUCUUUAAUUGUUUCACCCAGAUUAUUGGCAUUCAAAUGUAUUUCAGCAUCCAAUACCCAUGACAAAUAGUUUUCCGAGUUCAUAAAUUCAAGCUUUGCAAGAUUUGUCAUGGUAGAACUAUAUUGUAAAAAAAACAUAUUAAUUAGUACAUAUCAAACUUAAACAACAUAUAUAUACAACGAUGAUUAUUGAGACAACAAUAUUACCUAUUACAAUAAUAAAAUAAUUUAGAUUUCAUAUACUUUUCAAAACAUCAUAUAUGUUCACGACGAAUUAAUUAUGUUAAAUAUACUUUGUGUGUAUAGAUAUAUAAUAUAUUAGAAUUAAGAAAGUUCUGUAACAUGAUAAUUUAUUUACAUUAAAAGAGAAUGUAAAAGAACUAUUGUUUGUUUACGCAUAUGUCAGAGGACCUCAUAAUAAAAGAAAAUGUAAAUUUUUUUUGAUGGUCCUAGUAAUGUGUAUCUAAUCUUAAUAGAAGGUUCCAACAAAAUGCUACGUGGCAACUCUACAUCUCUCCUCACUAAAACCCCUAUGACCCGAAAGUUCCUUUUUUGUAGAUCUUGACCCGAACCAAUCAGCAAACCCUAUUUUUGCUUUCUUCUUCAUUCAUACCCUCCAAAGAUAAUCUUGGUCGUCUCUUACUUUGCAUCCUUUCAGAUUCAACAUUUAUCUGUCAUGAAACCGUUAUCUCCAGCAAUAUCAGUUCUUGCCUGCGUAACCCUCAGGUAAUAGAUUUCAAGUUUCUGUUAAAUGUAGUAAGGGUUUUUGGUUUCUAAAUCAAACACCGUAUCUUGCGUUGUCUCACUUUUAAUUCCCUAAACAAACAUAUUCUACCGGUAGCAAUAACUUCAAUUCCGGAUUGCGUUAUGGUACUUGCCUGGCAGUGGCAAUACACGGCCCAGAUGCGUUCGUGUUCAACCUCUCAGCAGUAUUUCUAAGGUUGUCAUCGGUUUUAUGUUAUUUAGGGUUUAAAUUGUGAAGAUUGAUAGGAUUGGUGUUACACUCUGUUUCACGUUUUGAAACAGGUCCUUUUAAAUUUGUACACAUGACUAGCAACUCUUAAUUUGUUGGUAUUUUAUGCAAAAGAAAAAACAUUAUUAUAUGUAGUUUGAUACCAUUUCUAUGCGUAGUCUGAGAAACAACAGUUGGAUAUUUUAUCUACAUUGGCGGAUGGAAACUUUGUCUCGACUUUGCUAGCGCUCCAUAUUCAGUGAAGCUUUUGCAUGGGCAGGGCUUAAGUCAUCUAAACUUAUUUUUGGUAUCGACUUCACCAAGACCAGUGAAUGGACAGAUAAUAUUAUAGUUUUCGAGAGUUUUUUUUUUAAUUACUUUACCCAAGUGGUUAUGGUAAGCAAUAUUUUUCUAUAGUUCCAAGUUGAAGUGGAACAUUCUUUUAACAACAAGCUUCUGAUAUCAAUUGUGUUACAUGGAGUUGGUGAUGGGUCGUGGGACACAAUGAAGGAAUUUGAUGAUAAUAUUCAUUCUUGCAGCUUUAACAGUUUCUAGGUAUAAAAUCAAUAUUACUUAUAGAGGUGAUAAUUUCCACCUAUCUAUUUAGAUUCUGUUUAUCUUAUACUUAUAGAGGUGGCAAUUUCCAUCUAUCUAUUUGGAACUGAAAAAAAGAGAACGGGUCAAAUAAAAUAAGUUGAGAGUUAUGAUCGUUUUAUAAUUCUUAAAAAAACUAUUAGUAAGUAUAUACACAAUACAUUUAUUCAACCCAUGUAAUAUAAUAAUAUUCAUGAAUUAGAUUACUAUUAUUGAAAUUACAUAGUUUAUAAUCCUACUUAAGACAAAAUAUUUACAAGUUUUCUAUAUAUCGGACAAGAAAGUUUUACGUCAAUCUGACCUGUACCAAAGGUAACCCGCUUUGACCCAUUACUUAACCCACCUAUUUUCAGCCUGUUUUGUUUUUCUAUUUGAUUCUCAAUAUGAAUAAAGUAAACAAAUGACAGUUUUAACAUAUAAUCUGUUGAGAUUUGAGAGGUAGUUCUCUUUGCAUGAUUUUACCAUAAUCGUUCAUUUUUUGUGUAUACAAGCUACAGAAUUUCUUUGAAGAAAUGAAUAUGAAACGUAAAAGGCCUUUGAUGACUUGACAAAUCAGGACACUAAUUAUGAUAUAAAGGUUGUAUUGAACAUGUGUAAUACACGGGUCUAUAAAAUUAUCUUAAACAAUUUAGAGAUUUGUGAAUGGUAAUAUUGUAAGUUAGUAUUUUAUUAUUGUAUAUGUAAUGUUAUUUGUAACUCCAGCAAGAUAAGGUAUAUAUAUAUUUUGUAUUUAUAUGAUUUUUUAUAAGGGUGCACCCCGUGUAGU